rnacentral:lncRNA from 1 species
GGGGGCGGGGGUUGGAGAACUCGGCAUCCCCGGCAAGGGGGCUGCGACAGUAGUGGCGGCUGGCGAGGGACCGGUCUCGUCUUCAGACUCCUCGCCUAGGAAGCUGAGGUCGAGCUCUGGAAAUUUUCUGGCCACCUUCUCCUGGCAGAGCUCGAACCCCCUUAUGAACGCUUCCUGGCCAAAUUGGACCUUCAGGUCCCUCAUCUCCGCGGAGGCCUUGAAUUCCUCUACCGCAAGGACUCUGGCCUCCGAGACCAGGACCAAAAUUUGCUCGGCCAAGUUGGCGACCUCGGCCUCC